UCCCAGUGUGGACGCCGAUGCCCUCGUGGGGUCUGAAUCUUCCUCUCCUGAUGAAGAACCGCAGCACAUCACCAGACCUAAAUCAAAGGAGGAAAGCCGGAGCACCCUCUGUUUGGCGAAAGCGUACCCCGAAUUCCCACCAAGCAUCUUGGAAUACAUCACUGAAUAUUGGCAGCACCACAAGGGCUCCCGUGGUCUGAGGAAAAGGUUCGAAAAUCAAAGAUCCAAAGUGGGUAGAAUCAUGGCCUUCCUCUCGUUUAUAACUGAAGGGCAGACAAUCCUCCAAAAUUGGACUUUCCUUUCAAAUAUGUCCAGGACAUACUAGUGGCCAGAACAUCUGCUAAGUGAGGGAAAAGCUGAGAACACAGUGAAAACGUACCUGGUGAAUUUGUCCCAGUUCCUGACCUACUUCAGGGACACCCCUCCCUCCUCAUCCAGGGUUCCAAAAAGAGCAGUGUUUGCCGUGCUUCGUGCUAUCUCAGAGUGCAUUUCAAACCUUGGCCCAGAUGUGGUCAUGCGUCAGAUAAGUGUCAAGAAAAAGAAGUUGAGCCGGACCAUCUCCAAGGACCAACUUCACCUCUGCAAAAUCCUGUCCAGGAGACGCAUCCCUGAACUUCUUGAUCAACUGUCUGAGGACCCCAACCCGGAGGCGUGCAGGAGAUUCUUCGGGUACCUCAGUGUUUAUCUAGCAAGCCUUUAUGGACACCGGACCGGUAUUCUAAAAAACAUAACUGUGGCGGAGGUUGACGAGGCCCAGCAGGAUGCCACAGUCGGGCAAAUGGGCUUUGCUAUAUGAAUUCAAUUCAAUUUUAUUUAUAUAGCGCCAAAUCAUGAAACAUGUCAUCUCAAGGCACUUUACAAAAUCAAGUUCAAUCAUAUUCAAAAAUGAUCCGUCAGAAUUUAGAGGCAGCCGUCAAGCCAUCACGUACGACAGGACAUGACACUGCCGAACCUUCUCUCCUCUCCAUGUCAGACUCAUCAGGUGAUGGGCUUGAGGAGGAAGCGGAGGGUGCGUCAUCCAGCCAGCCUGCUGCAUCCAGCCCGCUGCCAUCGCCUUCCAGCCCCCCCGCCGUCCUCACCAACAUCCAGCCAGUCCACUGGAUCACAAAGCCCUGAUCACGCUUCUGAGAGCGAUGCCGAUUACACUCCUGACAGCGAGCGUGAUUACACUUGUGAGAGCGAGACUGAUGACACUUCUGAGAGCGAUCCUUCGUAUGCACCAAAUAGAGGGACACAACAACC